rnacentral:rRNA from 1 species
UACGAAGGGGAGCUAGCGUUGCUCGGAAUCACUGGGCGUAAAGGGUGCGUAGGCGGGUCUUUAAGUCAGGGGUGAAACUCCUGGAGCUCAACUCCAGAACUGCCUUUGAUACUGAGGAUCUUGAGUUCGGGAGAGGUGAGUGGAACUGCGAGUGUAGAGGUGAAAUUCGUAGAUAUUCGCAAGAACACCAGUGGCGAAGGCGGACUCACUGGCCCGA